CACCUUUGACUAAAAAUACAUAAAAUGGAACAUAGUAGAGGGCAAGAGGCACACUUUUGAUUUGGACUCAAUAGAAGCAGAAGAAGGGCAUUUGGUAAAAAUUGGGAGAAUCAGAGAUUCACUUCACUUUGGCAAAUGGCGAAUCAGAUUCGUCUUGAAGCAGUACCUCUUCUAGUAGUCGUACUUAUUGGUGCCCAUGUCCUCGCUUUGGUGUACUGGAUUUAUCGGCUAGCAAAUCAGAAGCAACCCAUGAGGCUUAAAAAGCAAUAGCAUUCACUUCGUUUUUUCGGUUUUUGCUCUUUUUUAUCCUGUUAAAUUUUAUGUUUGGGGACAUUGAAAUGGUUGACAAUUUCAGUUGAAUAGAGAAAUUGGGUUUGUGUAUUUUAUGUUUUGUGCCCCUUGGUCCCUUUUUAAUACAAUUUUGCUUUUGUUAAUGCUGGAUAACUUUAGUUAUUCCUUAUAAGUUAUUGAGAGUUUGGGUUCUUGAAAUUCCAAAGGGUAAUCUAUACCUUUAUUGUACUUUCCAUUUUUUGAUUGUUAAAGGUAUUUCAUUGAAAAGAAAGUGCUCUUUCUCUCUAUAUAUAUAUAGGAAAAACUGCUGCAAUUGAAAAGAGCCUAAAAUUCUGUAUCAUUUGCAAUAGCCAUGUUACAUACACACACAAACAAAAAAGUGAAGAUUUAUUUGCAAUAGCCUGGCACAGGCUGGCACUCAAUGCUCAAGCACCCAUUCAUUCUGGACCAAAAGCUAUUAUUUGUAUUGAGAAACUGGUUAUGCUUACAAUUUUUUUGUCUAACAUGCUGCCUGAGAAACCAGCCGACUGAAGCAUUCCAACUUUUAAAGGUGCUUUGUUUCCCCGGAUACACUUCAUGGCCAAAAGGAGAUGCUGUCAGGUAAGUCACUUUGAUGUUUAUAAUGUGCGCCGACUGUGAAUUUCCCUUUUGCAUCACCCUUCCACAUAAGAGAAGAUGGUCUGGAAGAUGAAGGGUGCUGUUAUGAGUUUCCUAUUCUCUCUUUUGCUUGAGAAUGAACUUUGGUGGGGUUCUGUUCAGUUUCUUUUUAUGUUUGUUUCAUUUAAUUUUGACAUAUUUAAAUUGUGCUCUAUAUUUAACAUUGAAUUUAUGUUCUUGAAAGUCGAAUUGGGAAAUAUACAAUUAAGUCAGGAUAUGAAUAUGUGCUUCAUAGAGUUGCUUUAGCAUAUCUGCAUGAAAGGCCAAAUUAUGACCUGUUCCGUUGAACCUCUUCCUCUUCCCCUUGAGUAAAAGCAAAAUACAUUGUACAUAAAAGGCUAAAUAUGUAGAUAACCCGUUAAACAUGACAUGUUUUGUGAGAUAACCUUACAAACUUAUAGAGUAACCAAGUUAGACACUUCUACAUGACAAAAACGUACCUUCUAAACACAUAGUCAGAAAAACUGAGCACAUGAAAAUCAUAUGCUGAUGAUGUAUCAAAUGUCAAAUGAAAUAACAAUAUGUGUCAAAAUUGAAGAAUUUUUUUUAAAAAUAAAAACAGGCCCACCCCCACGAGACUACACCUCAACUGAUUAAGUAUAAGUGUCUAACUGGUCACUCUAUAAGUUUUUGAUGAAAUCUUACAAAUUGUGCCAAGUUUAAGGGGCUCUCUAGGUAUUUAGCAUUAUUCAAAAAAAUUUAGUUCACAGGUUUAACCGUGGGUGACGGAGACCCGAUGGUGUGAGCGUUGACCUUCUUGUUCCUUUAUUUAUUGGGGAAGAAGAAAGUGGGGAAAAUGGACCGCUUGGUGUUUGGCCUUGUUCAUCUGAUUCUGGAAAAUUCUUUUCCAAAUAUGGCAUCAUUUAGGGAAAUUUUGUGUCUGUUAGAUCAGAUUUCUAUCUUUUUUUUAUGAUCGUUGUGUACAGGCCAAUUUUCACAUAUCUUUAUUAAUUUCACGGAAUAUCUGUCACCUCCCACCACCAACAAGUGCACAACAAGUACCAAGUAACUCUAUUCACCAAGACUAGGAUAGAUGGGAAGUAUCACCUAGUGUAUUUUUUUGUCUCCGCUAUAUUUUGAACUGAGAUCUCAGGGUUCUCAACCACUAGGGCAAAACCAUGGGUCAGAUUUCUCAUCAUUUCUUGUUAUCUUUUUCUGCAAGCUGGUCAAAUGGCAUUAAUUGGUUUGCAUGACAACACCUAAAGCGAAAUCAACUUCUUCUGCUGCUUUUCAAUUUUAAUUUCUAUGGCAAGCAAUGUGUCUAUUACUGCUAAAAUGUAAUUGUCACUAGUAAUUGCCUCUAAAAACCAUAUUUAGUGGCAACUAAACUAUUGUCAUUAAUUAAUUGCCGCUAAAGAUCAUUUUUGGUGUAGUGUUAGGAGUAAAUUGGCUACUGAACUUUUGUACUUAUGUGUUCGGUCAAUCUUCUAAGUCGUAUAUUCAUUUUGGUUGAUCACUGUAACUGGAAACCAACAUCCUAGCCCAACUUCAGUCGCAACGCCUGAAGAUAUCCAUACUUUAUACACUAAGAUGCUUGAGAGGCUGGACUUUGUUGAAAUCAUUUUUUCUCCUUUCUUGAAUUUCCUAAGUGUCUCUCCCAUCUCUGAGUAGGACUCUGUACAAAACUGAGGCUCAACUUUGAGCUAGCACUUCUUAGUUCCCAUUAUGCCAAGCAACGGGCAGAUUAACAAAAAAUGCAUGAGGAACCUUGUUGAGUUUCAAAUUUUAAUGCACCUAGUAGAAGUGCCAUUGCAAGGUUCGUGCUUCUUGGUUAUAGAAUCAAUGUAAGCCUAAAAGAGUUCUAUUACUAACAAAAUUCUUUUUAAAUAUACUAAUAAUGUAUAAUGAUACAUCAUAUGCAGCAGUGAGUUUUAAUGUAAUAAAUUUAUUCUUUGCCAAACCGAAGUGUAUAUUUCACUCACUUCCUUGCUACUCUUUCAAAAUAACUUUUAUUCUCCUAGAGAAAAAUAAUUUACCACCUAAUGUAAGGAACAAAUAACUUAUAACAUAAUGACAAAAAGAGAAGCUUAGCCUACUAAAUUACUUUAAAGUACUUGAGAGUGUAAUUAUGUUGCAUUAAAACGUCAGGUUAAGCAACAUGCAAUGUUAGAAAACACAUGUGAAAAAAGAAAAAAAAGUUUUGGUUGAGUCGAGCAUAUUAUCAUAUACCUUGGGUGCGUUGGCAUUUACGCUUUCCAUCUACUACACAAAACCUUCAACUACGUGGAAGAGAACUCAAAAGCAUUUGCAUUGAUCUUUACUGUUUUGUUACUUUGAAUCUGGAAAAGGCUUCUUCGAGGAGCAAAAGAAAGGUAUUGCUUACUUUCUGCUGGUUGUUUUAAUUUUCCAGUUUUGGUUAGAUUUUUGCUAUAGCGAGGACUUAUGCAUUUAAUGAUAAACUGGUGAGUGUUUCCUGCUUUAUUAGAUAUUCAUUUUAUUUACUGUGUCAUCGCUAACUCUAGAAGUUAUGGAAUUUCUUAUGGCUAUUCUAGAAUUACUUGUGCCUUUUUCCAUUUUCUGAACUAAUUCUUCUUAUGUAUGUUCUUGAAUAUUGGUUGUAAAUUUUUAAAAUUAUGUCCAGGUUGCUACUCAAAUGGAAAAAGAAAAUUAAUUUAAUAAAGGCUAUUGUAGUUAUUGUCGAGCCUUUGGGUCAAGUAUUCUGCAUAUGCAUAUACUUCAUUACAACUAUUACAUGACUUGAGACUUUUAGCUUUCUCAUGAAGAUAAUGUUGGGAUUUUCCAUACAAUAUUUUGGAUAGCUUGGUUAUUGAUGCAAAAUUUGCAAAAUGACGCAUUGAUUGCUUUUACCAAUUUGUAGUUUUAUUAUAAGGGAUGAGGUUAUGUAGGAAUAUAAUUUGUUUCUACGUCUAAAUGUAUUUGUGAUUUGAGGUACACUGCGUCCUCUUUAUUUUGCAACUAUUUCUUACUCUGUAGUCUUGUCACACACUCACACAGGAUAAGCUCGCCACCCACCUGCUGGCCAGGUGAAGUGAAAUUAUCUUUCGGUCAACUAUCGACCCAGUUAAGUGCACAAAACACGGUAGAAUCAUGCAAUGCACGCUGCUGGUGUGCUUCUUGCUAGCGAGGAAAGGCAUAAAGGAGACAGGGUUCAUUUCAAGAUCUGUCCAAUGUAUGAAUAAAGAACUAACCUUAAUGGAGAGAGAGAGAGAGCGAGAGAGAGAGAAAACGGGUAAGUUUUCUGCACUUAGGAUUUCGUUUGCAGCUACAUUAUGAAAAAGAAGUUGUAUUGAAAAGAAAAUGACGCUGCUCCUUUCAAAUUCCUUAACUUUUAGAGAAGAAACCUAUCUCUUUUUUGGUCAAUUUUAUGGUUCUUUAGUUUGUUCAAUUUGCCUUUGAAGAUCCAAGGUACAAUUUUCUUGUAGAUAUAUGAAAUGGUUCUACAAAAUUAUGCUAUAAAAUGUCAAUGCUCCUUUGUUGGAUUUGACAAUGAGCUAACCCUCUGUUCAUUUUACUUUUGGUUUCUAUAAUUAAUUAUUUUUUUUGUUUACUUUGUUUGCAUAUUUGGAAAUGUAUGUAUUUCAAUGUGAACACUGAAUGUUUUCCUAAAUAUAUACUUCCAAGAAUAUCCAUAAAGAGAAUUUAUGUAUAUAAUUUGUAAUUGUAAUGUCAUCUUUAAUGAUUCUGUGACAUUUUGUUUUCAGAGAUAUUGCUGAAUUCAUCAUCGUUAGUAAAAAAGGUGGAGACUGAUUUAUUUUUUUGUACUUUGAUUUUGCAUCUGUUCCUUCCACUCAGGUACUAUGUGAUUGCAGUGAUUCAUGAAAUAUUGAUUAUUUUCCUUAGUAAUCACCCAUGUACGGUGUUUUACAUCUAAUUUUUGACGUCUUAAGCAGCCUAUCAUGCUGAUGUAUAUCAAUUUUCCUAUUAUAUGGUGUACUUCUGCCAUGUUGGUUUUAUUGUUCUAGAAACAUGCAAAAGAUACUUUGACAUUCUAUUCUGUAUUUCAAGUUGAAUUUGCAAAUUUUCUGGUUUUUGCUUCUUUUCACUUGUUUUUGUUCUACUAACUGCAACUCUAUUGUAAAAGGGGGAAAAUCGAGUGACAUCUUCUUGUCCCAUUUUCUCAUCUCUUGCUAGGGAAUUACCCUUGUGGUUUAGGAGAAUUGAAGGUGCUUCUACUAAUCUAAUGCAAACUUGCUGCAAAA